rnacentral:rRNA from 1 species
AUGUCCCGCAUCCACCUCCACCGUCGCCUCUUCUCCUCCACCACGCGGCCCUUGCGUUCCUGGUCUCCCCGCGCCGCCUUUGCCGCGGUAACAGAGCGCGUCCGCGCUGGGGCGCUCAGCCAAGACGAUGCACACCACCUGUUCGACGAAUUGCUGCGGCAGGCCACCCCGGUCCCCGGGCGCUCCCUCGACGGCUUCCUUGCCGCCCUCGUCCGUGCGCCCGCCUCCGGAGCCUGCAGAGAUGGGCCCGCCCUCGCCCUCGCUCUCUUCAACCGCGUCUGCCGGGAUGAAUCCGGCGCGCGGGUGGCACCGCCCACAAUCUUCACCUACGGCAUCCUCAUGAACUGCUGCUGCCGCGCGCAUCGCCCGGACCUAGGGCUCGCCUUCUUCGCUCGCCUCCUCACGACGGGCCUGAAGGCUGACCAGAUCGCCGCCAACACCUUCCUUAAGUGCCUCUGUUACGCAAAACGGACGGAUGAAGCUGUGAACGUGCUGCUUCAUAGGAUGUCCGAGCUCGGCUGUGUGCCUAAUGCCUUCUCAUACUCCAUUGUUCUGAAGAGCUUAUGCGACAAUAGCAUGAGUCAGCGGGCGCUCGACCUGCUCCAGAUGAUGACCAGAUGGAGAAAUGACAAGUCAGGGUCUUAUACCAGAUAA